CUGAAUAGUAGGCAAACCCAGCGAAAGCUGGUGACGCAAAGCUGUGAGUCUAAAGCAUAAUUUGCUAUGACAGUCUAGUUGCAAUC
rnacentral:ncRNA from 1 species